UUAAGCGACUAAGCGUACACGGUGGAUGCCCUGGCAGUCAGAGGCGAUGAAGGACGUGCUAAUCUGCGAUAAGCGUCGGUAAGGUGAUAUGAACCGUUAUAACCGGCGAUUUCCGAAUGGGGAAACCCAGUGUGAUUCGUCACACUAUCAUUAACUGAAUCCAUAGGUUAAUGAGGCGAACCGGGGGAACUGAAACAUCUAAGUACCCCGAGGAAAAGAAAUCAACCGAGAUUCCCCCAGUAGCGGCGAGCGAACGGGGAGCAGCCCAGAGCCUGAAUCAGUGUGUGUGUUAGUGGAAGCGUCUGGAAAGGCGCGCGAUACAGGGUGACAGCCCCGUACACAAAAAUGCACAUGCUGUGAGCUCGAUGAGUAGGGCGGGACACGUGGUAUCCUGUCUGAAUAUGGGGGGACCAUCCUCCAAGGCUAAAUACUCCUGACUGACCGAUAGUGAACCAGUACCGUGAGGGAAAGGCGAAAAGAACCCCGGCGAGGGGAGUGAAAAAGAACCUGAAACCGUGUACGUACAAGCAGUGGGAGCACGCUUAGGCGUGUGACUGCGUACCUUUUGUAUAAUGGGUCAGCGACUUAUAUUCUGUAGCAAGGUUAACCGAAUAGGGGAGCCGAAGGGAAACCGAGUCUUAACUGGGCGUUAAGUUGCAGGGUAUAGACCCGAAACCCGGUGAUCUAGCCAUGGGCAGGUUGAAGGUUGGGUAACACUAACUGGAGGACCGAACCGACUAAUGUUGAAAAAUUAGCGGAUGACUUGUGGCUGGGGGUGAAAGGCCAAUCAAACCGGGAGAUAGCUGGUUCUCCCCGAAAGCUAUUUAGGUAGCGCCUCGUGAAUUCAUCUCCGGGGGUAGAGCACUGUUUCGGCAAGGGGGUCAUCCCGACUUACCAACCCGAUGCAAACUGCGAAUACCGGAGAAUGUUAUCACGGGAGACACACGGCGGGUGCUAACGUCCGUCGUGAAGAGGGAAACAACCCAGACCGCCAGCUAAGGUCCCAAAGUCAUGGUUAAGUGGGAAACGAUGUGGGAAGGCCCAGACAGCCAGGAUGUUGGCUUAGAAGCAGCCAUCAUUUAAAGAAAGCGUAAUAGCUCACUGGUCGAGUCGGCCUGCGCGGAAGAUGUAACGGGGCUAAACCAUGCACCGAAGCUGCGGCAGCGACGCUUAUGCGUUGUUGGGUAGGGGAGCGUUCUGUAAGCCUGCGAAGGUGUGCUGUGAGGCAUGCUGGAGGUAUCAGAAGUGCGAAUGCUGACAUAAGUAACGAUAAAGCGGGUGAAAAGCCCGCUCGCCGGAAGACCAAGGGUUCCUGUCCAACGUUAAUCGGGGCAGGGUGAGUCGACCCCUAAGGCGAGGCCGAAAGGCGUAGUCGAUGGGAAACAGGUUAAUAUUCCUGUACUUGGUGUUACUGCGAAGGGGGGACGGAGAAGGCUAUGUUGGCCGGGCGACGGUUGUCCCGGUUUAAGCGUGUAGGCUGGUUUUCCAGGCAAAUCCGGAAAAUCAAGGCUGAGGCGUGAUGACGAGGCACUACGGUGCUGAAGCAACAAAUGCCCUGCUUCCAGGAAAAGCCUCUAAGCAUCAGGUAACAUCAAAUCGUACCCCAAACCGACACAGGUGGUCAGGUAGAGAAUACCAAGGCGCUUGAGAGAACUCGGGUGAAGGAACUAGGCAAAAUGGUGCCGUAACUUCGGGAGAAGGCACGCUGAUAUGUAGGUGAAGUCCCUCGCGGAUGGAGCUGAAAUCAGUCGAAGAUACCAGCUGGCUGCAACUGUUUAUUAAAAACACAGCACUGUGCAAACACGAAAGUGGACGUAUACGGUGUGACGCCUGCCCGGUGCCGGAAGGUUAAUUGAUGGGGUUAGCGCAAGCGAAGCUCUUGAUCGAAGCCCCGGUAAACGGCGGCCGUAACUAUAACGGUCCUAAGGUAGCGAAAUUCCUUGUCGGGUAAGUUCCGACCUGCACGAAUGGCGUAAUGAUGGCCAGGCUGUCUCCACCCGAGACUCAGUGAAAUUGAACUCGCUGUGAAGAUGCAGUGUACCCGCGGCAAGACGGAAAGACCCCGUGAACCUUUACUAUAGCUUGACACUGAACAUUGAGCCUUGAUGUGUAGGAUAGGUGGGAGGCUUUGAAGUGUGGACGCCAGUCUGCAUGGAGCCGACCUUGAAAUACCACCCUUUAAUGUUUGAUGUUCUAACGUGGACCCGUAAUCCGGGUUGCGGACAGUGUCUGGUGGGUAGUUUGACUGGGGCGGUCUCCUCCUAAAGAGUAACGGAGGAGCACGAAGGUUGGCUAAUCCUGGUCGGACAUCAGGAGGUUAGUGCAAUGGCAUAAGCCAGCUUGACUGCGAGCGUGACGGCGCGAGCAGGUGCGAAAGCAGGUCAUAGUGAUCCGGUGGUUCUGAAUGGAAGGGCCAUCGCUCAACGGAUAAAAGGUACUCCGGGGAUAACAGGCUGAUACCGCCCAAGAGUUCAUAUCGACGGCGGUGUUUGGCACCUCGAUGUCGGCUCAUCACAUCCUGGGGCUGAAGUAGGUCCCAAGGGUAUGGCUGUUCGCCAUUUAAAGUGGUACGCGAGCUGGGUUUAGAACGUCGUGAGACAGUUCGGUCCCUAUCUGCCGUGGGCGCUGGAGAACUGAGGGGGGCUGCUCCUAGUACGAGAGGACCGGAGUGGACGCAUCACUGGUGUUCGGGUUGUCAUGCCAAUGGCACUGCCCGGUAGCUAAAUGCGGAAGAGAUAAGUGCUGAAAGCAUCUAAGCACGAAACUUGCCCCGAGAUGAGUUCUCCCUGACUCCUUGAGAGUCCUGAAGGAACGUUGAAGACGACGACGUUGAUAGGCCGGGUGUGUAAGCGCAGCGAUGCGUUGAGCUAACCGGUACUAAUGAACCGUGAGGCUUAACCUU
rnacentral:rRNA from 1 species